CCAACAGAGACAUCCUCUCCUCUCCUGUCUCCUCAGAUUUCUCUUUAAAUAACUUCAUUUCCUUUGAAACCUGCCCUGAUCCCACAGUUUAAAUUCAUUUCAAUUCAAUAAAGAGAGUUAAGAAAGGCCUGUGUCAUAAAGAGUAUGAUUUACUCUUAUGUUGAGCCACAAAACUGAUACAAACUUGUAAACUAAAGGCCUGGCUCUUAAGAAUUUAUGAUACAGUUGGACCAGCAUGCAUGAGCCCACAGUAAACAGGACAAGAUAGAGUGGAUUUGGAGCUAAAUCCAAUGGUGUAGACACGGAGCGCUAGGGAGGAAAAGAUGGCUAGUCUUCUACUUCAACCAGAUUGCAAACCCACUAAGGCCUGGGAACAUAUAUGUCUGCAUAGAAUUGAAUGAGACCUUUGAGAUCAUUCUGUAUAAUCGUUUUAUUUCUACAGCUGGGGAAAUUGAAGACCAACAAGUUGUGAGUUGUCCAAGCUCAUACUACUAAUUAGUAUUCAGAAAACUCCUUAAAAUUCUGCUUGUUUUUGUCUUCCCUUGAUUGGUGAAGAAAAGAGGGAGUGACACUUUUCUCAGGGACUUUGUUACACUGUAGUUUGUCUAGGAUUUCCUCACCUUGAGGAGUAGGAGUAGUAAGAGGCAUGAUCUUGUAGUUUUGGUAUAGAUAUUUUUGAGAAUGUGAGUCACUUAUCACUCUGUGCUGGCCAGGAAGACUUCAAUGUGGAAAUUCUGGGACUCUGAACAUUGAUUUAAAUUCUCUCCACCAAUACAGGAUAAGGCAUUAGAAUCAAGAGUUUUUCUCCAAGUGGGAACUCCAAGUGGAGUUUUUCUCCAAGGCCGAUGAGAUAAGCCCUGGUCAUAAGUGAGAAAAAGCAGUUCAGAUCUGAGCUGGGUUGGCCAGACCAGAGAGAGAAAUGGGAGCAUUAUAAGAGGCUGAGCCUGGCUCUGGAGGUGAGAGUGUUGGGCUUUCUCUUUAGACACCCAAAUGAGAGAUGCCUUCUUUCCAGCUGGGAGCCUUGAAUGGCCUAAGGUGGCUUGCCAUCACUGGUCACAUCCAUUCUUGAGCUGCAGAUAUCUGAGCCUUGAGAGUCAUCAGCCCUGAUAGCAAAAGUAGGAAAAAGUCCAGCUAGAUCAUUGCACAUUUGCCAUCUUCUCCACUAGUGCCAGAAAAUUGCUCAUUUUAAUCUUUUUUACUCAAGAAAAAAAUAUCAAUAUAUUUUGAUAAAGGUAGUUGGGUUAAACAGGAUUUCAAUAGUCCUUCUUUAACCUCCAAUCUGUUUAGAAACCAUUCUUGAGCAGCAAUACUUCUUUGCCUGAAACUGAACUGCCCAUUCCAUUGGUUUUCUCGCCAAAAAGUUGAAGAAGAAUCUAUAAAAACUGAGAGUUUUUAAUUGCUAUUAUUUUAAUAGCUUUAGGGAGGUAUCGUUAACAUACAGCCAACUGCAAAUAUUUAAAGUAUACAACUUGAUUUGGUAAGUUUGGACAUAUGAAUCCACCUCUGAAACACCAAAGCUUCCUUGUAUUAAUACCUCUUUGAAAUGUCUUUCUACCAUUCCUGCCCCGUGGUCUCUAGGCAACCACAGAUUUGCUUUCUCUCACUCUAGAUUAGUUCACAUGUUCUAGAAUUUUACAUCAGUGGAAUCCUACAAUAUAAAUCUUUUUUGCUUGGCUUCUUUCACUCAGCAUAAUCAUUUUAAAAUUUAUUUGUGUUCAUCAGAAUCUACCCUUAAACAUAAAGCUUGCUUCAAAUGACCAAGAGAAGAAUUCAUAGAACUUGACCCAUUUGUAAGUUGGAGACAGUUGGAAUAUUAUACUAAUACAUAAUGCUAAAGCAUAUAUGUUCUAUGUAUAUUUAACAAUAUGUGAAG
rnacentral:lncRNA from 1 species